UCCGUCCCCAUUCCCUUCCCCUGGAACAAGCACUUCUCCUCCUGAUCUCCCACGGGUUCCCCUCGAUGGCGACGCCCCGCUCCCCAAGCCCCCGCGCCGACGCGCCCCUCGACUCGGCGCCGCUUCUGGGCGGCGCCACCGGCGGCGGGAGCCGGCGCCGAGGCGGCGCGCUCCGGCGGCCCUCCCUCCGCGGCGCGGCGCGGCUGCUACGCCGGGGCGGGCGGCGGGCGAUGCGGGAGCCGUCGGUGCUGGUGCGGGAGGCCGCGGCGGAGCACCUUGAGGAGCGGCAGGCGGACUGGGCCUACUCCCGCCCCGUCGUGGCGCUCGACCUGCUCUGGAACCUCGCCUUCAUCACCGUCGCCGCGGUCGUGCUGGUGCUCAGCCGGGACGAGGACUCGCCCAUGCCGCUCCGGACCUGGGUCGCCGGCUACGCCCUCCAGUGCGUCGUCCACAUGGUCUGCGUCGCGAUAGAGUACCGGAUGCGCCACGGCCCGCGCGGUGGAGGCCCAGCGCCCGCCGACGAGGAAAGGGGCAGCGAUGGAUCGUCCUCGUCCAGCGACGAGGAUGACAGGGAGCUUGAUCGCCGUGGUCGCCGCACCGAUUACGCCAGUAUUGCAAAGCACUUGGAGUCUGCUAAUACGAUGUUCUCCUUCAUAUGGUGGAUAAUUGGAUUUUACUGGAUAUCUGCUGGAGGUGAAGAGGUUAUCCGGGAUGCACCUCAACUUUACUGGCUUUGCAUAGUCUUUCUGGCAUUUGAUGUGUUCUUUGUUGUAUUCUGUGUUGCUCUGGCUUGUAUCAUUGGUAUUGCUGUUUGUUGUUGCCUCCCUUGCAUCAUAGCAAUUCUCUAUGCAGUAUCUGAUCAGGAAGGGGCAUCUGAAGAUGAUAUUCGUCAAAUCCCAAGGUACAAAUUUCGGCGGACUGAUGAGCCUGAAAAGCAAGAUGUUGACCCCAUGGGGCCUUUUGGUGGAAUAAUGACAGAGUGUGGCACAAAUCAACCUAUUGAGAAAGUGCUUGCAGCUGAAGAUGCAGAGUGUUGUAUCUGCCUUUCGGCAUAUGACGACGGUGCAGAGCUGCGCGAACUCCCUUGUGGGCACCAUUUCCACUGCACAUGCAUCGAUAAGUGGCUGCACAUCAAUGCAACAUGCCCCCUGUGCAAGUACAACAUUCGGAAAAGCAGCAGUAGCAGUGGAAGUGAAGAAGUAUGAAUGUCCGCCCCUUGACAAUUCCAAUCCGUUUCGACUUUGUGCCUGUGCCGUUGCUAAUAUGACUCCAGGUUGUGUCCGGUGUAAAUUUUUGUAUCCAAAUGUGCUGAUAGAGUCAAUCAAUUAUGUACUAAAGUUACUCAAAGUGCUGUCCAUAUGUCGCAUAAGUUAAUAAAUAGUUGGGUGUGCACCUGUACUUACAGUCGGGAAUAUAUGUUGGUAGGACCGUUACUUCUAUCCUAUGAGUGAUCGAGGCUUCUUCCUGCUUGUUA